GAUGAACGCUGGCGGCGUGCCUAACACAUGCAAGUCGAGCGGCAGCGAGGGGUGCUUGCACCCUGUCGGCGAGCGGCGGACGGCUGAGUAACGCGUGGGAACGUUCCCCAAAGUGAGGAAUAACUGCCCGAAAGGGUAGCUAAUACCGCAUAUUAUCUUCGGAUCAAAGGAUUUAUCCGCUUUGGGAGCGGCUCGCGUCGGAUUAGGUAGUUGGUGAGGUAAUGGCUCACCAAGCCGACGAUCCGUAGCUGGUCUGAGAGGAUGACCAGCCAGACUGGAACUGAGACACGGUCCAGACUCCUACGGGAGGCAGCAGUGAGGAAUCUUCCACAAUGGGCGAAAGCCUGAUGGAGCAACGCCGCGUGCAGGACGAAGGCCUUCGGGUUGUAAACUGCUUUUAUAAGUGAGGAAUAUGACGGUAACUUAUGAAUAAGGAUCGGCUAACUACGUG
rnacentral:rRNA from 1 species